AUUUUUAGAAAUUAAAUGUCACGACUACGUCACAGGAACCGUACUCAUAGUUGUGAUGUUUUAUUAUGACACACCUAGAGCAAGUUAAAAUGUUCAAAGACUAAUUACUAAUCUAAGCUCAGUUGAAACUCCGCGAGGUCAAAUAAAUCAACUAAAAAACUCACAUCAUCAACCCUUUUUAGCUCAUGGUGCCCAACUCAAAUCUAAUCAUCCAAGCACAAUCCCUGAAUACUCAUCAAAACGUAAAAUAAUAAGAUAGGAUUUAAACUUAAAGUGAUAGGGACAUCAUCAGCAAAGAAAAUAAUUUGAUGAAGGAAAAGAAAAUAAACUAACUCUUAUCUCACUAUACUGGACAAACUUUUAAUGCCAUACUCUUCUGACUUAUUUUCUUCAUAUAUUCAAUAGAGUGUUUCAUUGUCAUGGAGUAAAAAUUGAAUACAAAAUCAAGCAACUACUAUGAAAGAACCUGGCUAAUAAAACACUCCAAUGCAACAAUAUAAGAAAUUCUAGAAAAUUUGAUUUACUCCACAUAACCUCAAAAAAUUAAACGCUGCGGCAGAGAAACGAGCCUGCACAAAGCUAUUUGAAGCAUAAAAAACCAAUUGCAACAGUUUGACACAUUCUCAAUUUGAUACCCUAAAAAUGGAUUUUAAACCAACAACUAUAACUAAAGCAAGACUUGGAUUUCCAUUGAUUUAACAGGACUUAAAAUUAGCAUAAAUAUUCAUCCCCAGAUCGACCAAGCUGUCUUUAGCCCCCAGAAUACCCAAAUGCGACCACUCCCCUAGUUAAGCAAACUGAGAAAUCAAUUGCCAAAGAGGGCUGAGGAAAUGUUCAUUGAUAUACUAUUGCUUCAUUGCCAAAUAAAGCUAGCUGAGUAAAAUAGGCACUCAUAUCAAAGUACUACUGCCAAUGGGACAAUGAGAAACUGAGAAGAGAAGACUACAAGAUAUUUAACCUCUUAAGAACUGUUAACUCUAGAAGUGAAACUCAAAUCGAUGGGGAAACUAUGAAUAAAACUUAAUUAUAAAUCAAGGACUUAAGCUAGCAGCAGUCCAGGAAUCGUUAAAAGCCCAGUUCAUGUCCUAGUAUUGGUGAAUAUGCAAAAGAAAGCUAUGAAACUCAAGGGACGAUGAUUCAGUUAUUUCAAAAUCCAAGCACAAGAGUGUUAUUCAAGUGAAAAAGAAAAAUGGAUGCAAUUCUGUACAUACGUGUUUCGCAUGACAACAUAACCUCUGUUUUGAAACCAAAAUCUAAGAAGCAGGAUUAUCACCAUCACAGCUGCCAAAUGCAGAUACUCUAACAGAAAAUAGCGCUUCAAAUAUCCCGGCACAGCUAACUCAUGUUUGAAAGAAGCAAGAAAGGGAACAAAUGGUCUAUACAUUUUUAGCAAUAAGCAUGAACAAAACUGGCAAACUGACUUCAGCAAAAGCUAGACAUGCAUCUUUAGUCCUAAUUCCAGUAAAGUAACAGCUGCAAUGGUGCCAAUCUUGGCCAAAAGUGAAGCAGACCACUAGAAUUGUGAGCACUUAGAUAGCUAGUUCAACUGAUUGGAAUUUUAGUGUCCAGAUAGUCAUACAUUCCUAACGUUAAGGAAUGAAUGAAAACUACGCGUAACUCGACUGAUUUGCAACUAGUACAUGAGCAAGCAUGAAAUUUUAGAUCAAUACAUGAUUCAUUCUCGUGAUUCAACUAGCAAGAACACACCAACUUGACAACUCAUGAUACAAUAAAACCGAACAAAGUUAAACUUCGACUAAUUAGCAACCAGAUUUUAAACAUUUUUCCCAAAUAAAUCAUGAUCGAAUAGUGAUAGAAGGGCAGAUGAGCACACACAGCUACAUGUUUAGAUGACUUCCAAGACCAGAGGAUUAUAUGGACAUUCAAUAGCACACUUGUGAAAUCAUGGAAGAAGUUGAAAACAAGAAGAACAUAGCAGCAAAAAUGACAAAUCUCAGCUAUUACUUUAAACUUCAACACAUUUUGUAGUUCAUUCAAAGAUCGAUUCACAACGAGAACUAAAGGGAAGAAAAGAAAUGAACCUGGAAUUAAGAGACUGAAUUAAUACAACACUGAAAUCGACCAAAAGGAAGCAAAUAGCAGCUGAAAAUCAACCCUCGAGCAGCAACCGCCUUGAACUUCUCAAAUGACUUUCAUUUUUAAACCAAAAUCCAGAAUCGAAAUGAAGAAGACAGACUCUAGAGAUUUAAAAAAAACUUUAAAAAAUAAUCGACAUGAAAUGAAAUAGCCGAACAUUCAGUGAUUUUCUUUUGUUGUUCCAGUAUCAGUAAUAAAAGAACAAUAAAAGCUGAAGAAGAAAAAUCUCUCAAAUUCUUUUCCAAAAUCCUCUCCAAAAAUCCCUGUGAAUCCUCUUCUCCUUACAAAAUUGGAUCCGGUCCCUUUUGACAAUGAGCCCUUGAUGAAUGUGGGGCUCAGAUUGAGUGAAAUUAAUCCAACGCCUCACACUCAUCCAACGAUCGUUCUCCAGAACCUUCCAAUCGCGUGCUAUAGUUCAAAAUCGGGCGAGUGAGAGGAAGCAGAAUCUUUGGUGUCAGAAACCGUUAGAAAUGGCAAGAGGAGAGAAGGAGGGAACGCGUGGUUGGAUAUUGGGGCUCACUUGCCAUGGAUUUGGACUGAAUUGGGUCUUGGUUUGAGUGAGAGAGACGAUUGAAUAGUAACCGCGUCGCUUCUCUGAGUUCUGGGAUUUAGGGCUCGUUGUAUUGUCUGAGUAUAUUUUGGGUGAGUGGGGUGGGUCAGGGGAAUGGGUCGGGCAGCAGGUGAGGGCAUUUGUGCUGGGGAAGGAACUAGGUUAAUUCCAGCCCAAUGAACGAAUCUCCUUCCCCAAAUUCAUUUUCC
rnacentral:lncRNA from 1 species